GGCCGACCCCCAUCUGGCUCCCCACUUCCUUACAGAGUCACACAGUUUGAAUACAGCAAGAAUAUUUGGCAUGAAUUGCAAAAGAUAUCUUGCUUGUUACCCUUAACUGCUGAGAAGCAUUGUGAGUGGAGACAGCGCAGCACCCAAGCCAAUAAUCCUAAGUGGUGCAUUUCUCUGCAUCGUCAUGACAGGACUAAGGUUGUUAGUGAUUCUAAAAAAGCUGUAGUUUGAGACAGACAGGCCAAGCUGCUGGGCUCUUUUUGGACACAGCUAAUGCUGUUAAGAAGAAUUAAUUAGUGGACAGUGGUCCUUGGCCGGGGAUCAAGGAAGGAAGAAGUAGCAGGAAGAGGAGGAGGAAUCAUCAGCAAGGAAACUCGGGUGCAGAAAAGCUGUGACUCAUUAAUUCUUUGUUUCGGUAUGAGCGUGGUGAAAAUUGAUUAUAGUAACUUUGAGCAUCUCUACAAAAACAUAGUCCUGCCUCAAGUCAAAUGAUCCUUUGGCUUUGGGAGGAGUUUCAUAUCAAUGUCAAUUAAUUUCCUCCUUGGGUUGUAGAAACAGGAAGGAAUGAAGCCCUUGAAAGCAAUCUCUAGUGUUUUAGAAUACUUUCAUUUUCCCUGAAAUUACUCCUUCUUGUUCACCAUAAUCAAAUAAAAAAAUAUAAAAUGUAGCAUUUAUAGUGUGUCUAUUGAAAAGUAUUACAAAACUUUCAGUUUAAUAAAGCUGUUCUUGAACGUUGCCUCACAAAUCUGGCCAUGCUGUUUCUUGAGGCAAUAUAAUGCUGUUUUUCAGACUGACUGUUCUUGUCAUGUUAGAGUAGAGGGAUCUGUGUAUCUCGUUAUAUAAAAAAACCCCUAUUUUAAAUUGGAUGUGAUACUGAAUUAUCAAAAAUAUCAGGAUUUCAGAAUGGCCAUGGGCAGUUCUAUUCACUAGGCUGAGGUAAAAUAAUGAUUUACUUCUUGUUCCCCCCCUCCCGCACCCUGCUUAGUGAAAAUAGUAUGUGCAGGACGUCUCCUUGGCUUGAGCCAAGAUCUUCCAGAAUGCUGCUCUUAUUUCCAAUUGGCAGUGCUACUCAUACAAAGCCAUCCUAAACACCUCCUUUUAUUUCGCUAUUUAUGGUUUUCGUGGUUUGUCACCAAAAAAAACCCCAAACCCUCAAACAAAGUAGAAUGUUUUGAAGAGUCCUUAAACAUUUUAGUUGUAUUACUUUUUUAUAUCCAAUUGCCUAAAGAUACUGUGUCCAUAUAUCCAUACUGUCUUUCUCCUUGACUGGAUUUCUGAUUUUUCAUUUGAUAGCCAUUUAGCAUGGGCUUUUGCUUUCUAUCACAAGUGCCCUAUGUUCCCACUCUCCUGUUUAUUGCAUCCCCAUCAAACUUGACAGCUUUGAAGGCUUUCGAUGCAGCAAAAGCUUAGCGGUUAGCUUACACGUGUGUGAGUGCUCAUGUGUUGGGUGCUGUUGACUUGAAACUGAUCCCAUCUCUGCAGAGAGUCAAUGAGCAGGAGCAUGAGAUUCAACAGGGUCGGAUCAAAAGCCUGCCCUCUUCAAUCUCUGCAGUACAAGACAUGAGCUCUAGUAGCAUAAGGAAGGAAGGACCUUUUUCAAAAGACAGCUGGAUUUUAUUUUUUUUUUUUUACAUCCUCUAGAAUGGUCUCUUGUUCCAUAUUGGUUUCAUAUGUGCUUAUGUGCAGACAGACACAAACAUUAUCCUCUCCAAGGUAGACCACAGUGGGGAAAAGAUAAAGCAGUUGAGGAGAGGCUGUUGACAGCGUGGGAAAAGAGCUUUUACUGCCCUUGACCUGG